rnacentral:rRNA from 1 species
UCCGUAGGCGGGCAAUUAAGUCAGAGGUGAAAUCCCACAGCUCAACUGUGGAACUGCCUUUGAUACUGGUUGUCUUGAGUUAUAGUGAAGUAGAUAGAAUAUGUAGUGUAGCGGUGAAAUGCAUAGAUAUUACAUAGAAUACCGAUUGCGAAGACAGUCUACUAACUGUAUACUGACGCUAAUGGACGAAAGCGUGGGGAGCGAACAGGAUUAGAUACCCUGGUAGUCC